rnacentral:rRNA from 1 species
UACGAAGGGUGCAAGCGUUACUCGGAAUUACUGGGCGUAAAGCGUGCGUAGGUGGUUUGUUAAGUCUGAUGUGAAAGCCCUGGGCUCAACCUGGGAACGGCAUUGGAAACUGGCUUACUAGAGUGCGGUAGAGGGGUGUGGAAUUCCCGGUGUAGCAGUGAAAUGCGUAGAUAUCAGGAGGAACACCCAUGGCGAAGGCAGCAAACUGGGCAUCAUCUGACGCUGAGGCGCGAAAGCGUGGGUAGCAAACAGG